rnacentral:lncRNA from 1 species
AGCUCAAAAGCCUUGGAGUUGAUGGAAGCUGUCUGUUUUUCACUGAGAGAAAACAACUGGAGAAGUUUCUGGAAAUUGAGACCGUGAUCCCAAUACUGAGCUACAAUCUGUUAUCUGAAUUACAGAUGCAGAGAAUUCAAAAACCAGACCGUUUUAAAAUCAGAUGCCAAAUGUGACCCCAGGGAAAGUUGCCACCAUCUCUAGAACUGAAGGCUGUGCUUCUGUGGACGCCUGGAGGAGCAACCUUCCCUGGUAACUAAUGACGAAGCAGAAUUUAGCCUCUUGAUUGGACAGUGGAGUCUGCACUUCUUCAGAUAGGGAAAUUCUAACAAGCUAAUGGAAAAUUAAG